GACGAACGCUGGCGGCGUGCCUAAUACAUGCAAGUAGAACGCUGAAGGAGGAGCUUGCUCUUCUGGAUGAGUUGCGAACGGGUGAGUAACGCGUAGGUAACCUGCCUGGUAGCGGGGGAUAACUAUUGGAAACGAUAGCUAAUACCGCAUAACAUUAGAUGUUGCAUGACAUUUACUUAAAAUGUGCAAUUUCAUCACUACCAGAUGGCCCUGCGUUGUUUUAGCUAGUUGGUGGGGGAACGGCCCACCAAGGCGACGAUACAGAGCCGACCUGAGUGGGUGAUCGGCCAAACUGGGAAUGAGACAAGGGCCAGACUCCUACGGGAGGGAGCAGGAGGGAAUCUUCGGAAAUGGACGGAAGGCUGGCCGAGCAACGCCGCGGGAGUGAAGAAGGUUUUCGGAUCGUAAAGCUCUGUUGUAAGAGAAGAAAGAGUGUGAGAGUGGAAAGUUCACACUGUGACGGUAUCUUACCAGAAAGGGACGGCUAACUACGUG
rnacentral:rRNA from 1 species